rnacentral:lncRNA from 1 species
CACAAUUUCAAUUUUCGAAAUAAAUGUAGUCGUCUCGUGUCAACUCUCUUUAUGGAAUCGCUUCACACACACUCGGUGCUGUUUAGCAGGGCCAGCCCAGACAUCAUAACCACAAGAUAUGCCAGUUUUCCUUGUGCCUGUCGUCAGCAACAAAUUCACCGCUUGGAUUAAACAGGAUCCCUCUUGAUUUGGAGAAACUAUAGCGAUGAGACGGUCGAGUUCUUCUCUUGAAAUCCCCUCUGCCCUCGUGUAUGCCCAUGUGUUUGUGGGUGUAUUCACGAGGACGUCCAUUUCCCUACCUUGUCUGGUGGGUUCAACUUUUCAGCGGAUGGAUGGAGCAGCACUUGUGGAUGCCUGGCCGUAUAUUUCCCAGGCUUAAAGACUCUGAAAUCUUUGGACUACGUACUCAGGACUACUCACAUAGGAGCAAUAACUGGUUGGUGGUCUUUCCUCACUUGUUGCGCUAUAUAAAUGGUAAUUUCUGCUUGCAUUCUUUAAUAUUAUUUAAUUGUUUUGUGUGGUGUGUGGAAUGUGCCAUCACAGUAACAAAGGUAUUCAUCUCUCAUUCCAUCUUCUAGAGAACCUAGGAUAACCAGUGGUUGUUGAAGUUUGUUAACUUUUUUUUUUUUCUAAAGGUGGGGUUAGAAUAUUUUUCUCAAGGUUGGGGGUUGGGGCAUUGGUCGGGGUUGAAAUUUUCUUAUGGCGACGUUUUGAAGUAAUAGCCAAUGGAACGAAGGUGGUAAAUUUUUAAUUUUUUUUUCUACGUUUUAUCAAUGUUACGACUACAAGUUGUUGUUGAAGGUUGUUUUUUUGUUAAAAGUUAAAACUUAAAAGGUCGGGUUAGAAUUUUGAUCAAAAGGUUGGGGCAUGGGUUAGGGUUAGAAUUUUUGUCAAAAGAUGGGGUUAAAAUUCGUCCACCGGAGGGGUUUGGUGUUUCAGUCAGUUACCUAAGUCAACAGUCAAUUCAGGUGCAGCCUGUAGAACUAGGGCGUUGCACGGUCUGCGUGUUAGUCAUGUCAGCGAACUUCAAAGUUUUGCAUCGUGAAGAUAAAAGACCCACUCCCAGUGAGUCGUCUGACCGUUCUGCUGACCAUGUGUCCUGAAAGUGCUGGCCGUAUGCAGAAAUGUCGUCUCGUACUAGAUAGUAGAAACUUCAAUGGA